UACGGGGGGGGGAAGCGUUGUUCGGAAUUACUGGGCGUAAAGGGCUCGUAGGCGGCCAACUAAGUCAGACGUGAAAUCCCUCAGCUUAACUGGGGAACUGCGUCUGAUACUGGAUGGCUUGAGUUUGGGAGAGGGAUGCGGAAUUCCAGGUGUAGCGGUGAAAUGCGUAGAUAUCAGGAGGAACACCGAUGGCGAAGGCAGCUCGCUGGGACGGUACUGACGCUGAGGCGCGAAAGCGUGGGGAGCAAACAGG
rnacentral:rRNA from 1 species